GGCCGCGGGAUUAGAGUUUGAUCCUGGCUCAGGACGAACGCUGGCGGCGUGCUUAACACAUGCAAGUCGAGCGGACUCCAACCACUCGCAAGAGUGGGGAAGGGUUAGCGGCGAACGGGUGAGUAACACGUGAGGAACCUGCCUCGGAGACCGGGAUAACCCCCCGAAAGGGGAGCUAAUACCGGAUGUCCUCAGCGGAUCGCAUGGUCUGCUGAGGAAAUGGAUUCCGCUCCGAGAGGGCCUCGCGGCCUAUCAGCUUGUUGGUGAGGUAACGGCUCACCAAGGCGUCGACGGGUAGCUGGUCUGAGAGGACGAUCAGCCACACUGGGACUGAGACACGGCCCAGACUCCUACGGGAGGCAGCAGUGGGGAAUCUUGCGCAAUGGGCGAAAGCCUGACGCAGCAACGCCGCGUGGGGGAUGAAGGCUCUCGGGUUGUAAACCCCUUUCAGCAGGGACGAUUAUGACGGUACCUGCAGAAGAAGGACCGGCCAACUACGUGCCAGCAGCCGCGGUAAUACGUAGGGUCCAAGCGUUGUCCGGAUUUAUUGGGCGUAAAGAGCUCGUAGGCGGUUCGGUAAGUCGGGUGUGAAAACCCCAGGCUCAACCUGGGGACGCCACUCGAUACUGCUGUGACUUGAGUUCGGUAGGGGAGCACGGAAUUCCUGGUGUAGCGGUGAAAUGCGCAGAUAUCAGGAGGAACACCGGUGGCGAAGGCGGUGCUCUGGGCCGAAACUGACGCUGAGGAGCGAAAGCGUGGGUAGCAAACAGGAUUAGAUACCCUGGUAGUCCGCGCCGUAAACGUUGGGCACUAGGUGUGGGACCCUAUCGACGGGAUCCGUGCCGUAGCUAACGCAUUAAGUGCCCCGCCUGGG
rnacentral:rRNA from 1 species